rnacentral:lncRNA from 12 species
UGAAAUUUUAGCUCACAUUGUUUUAAUUAAAUAAUAAAUUCUUUUUUCAUUCUACCAUACCACCAACAUUUUGGCCAUGAAGUACUCAAGACUCUAAAGAAGGCAUUUUCCUAUGUCAAGAAAUUGAACAUGGAGCACAUCAUUGCAAAAAACAAAAAUUUGCAUAAAAUAUGCUUAUCUUUCGGCAGAAAAAAAUGUUUCCUGAUAAUAGCCUGAAGGUUACAUACCAACAAGGGCAAGAGUCCCAAGGGAAAGAAAAUCUUUAAGAGACUCGCUGUUGAGAGAUAAUUCUCCAUGUUUUUCUGACACUUUUGCCCUAUUUUAAAAUAAGAGGCACU